AAGCAAAAAAUUGAGACGUAAUGCAUAGAAAAAAAAUUGUUAAGUGGGCGCCGGGUGGGAACAUAAUGAGUCGUAAUUUCUGGCAAAAGGAUAGGAAAAUAAGGAAGCCAAUGGAAGGAAGCCCUAAAAGGAAAGCCUAAGAGUGUGCAAAAGGAUAAAUAAUGGAUAAGAAACCAAUUUCUGAGCGUUAAUUAAAAUAAUAUGACAUGGAACAGCAACGAGUUAAAUACGGUAUCGUAAUAAAAAUAUUGAAUAGCAGGACAUGAAAUACAGUGGAACAGUGGAAGUCGGCUCUUAAAUUGUGGCCCAUAAACAUUGAGUGGGACGGUUGAAUUCUGAAAGAGUGGAAAUGGGUAAUGAUAAUUGAGAACAUGAAAUUUUAAGGAAUGAAAAACUGUUGCAGCCGAGGUGUCGAAUGCAAUUAGUGGAAGAUUUUUAUUAUGGAAAUGUAUCAUGGUCUAGAGAACUAAAAAAGCAGACAGAAUGGACUAUGGAACAGUGAAAAAAGCAACAAGGAAAUGAAGCAAUCAAAAUAAGCUAUUUCUACUUUAUGAUAUUUUCAAUCUCAGCCCGGAACUCAACUAUAUAUUAUAAUUUUAAAGUAUGUAUACGUAGCCAUAACCACAUCUAGACUCAACUGUAAUUCGCCAGUAAAUCUUCCUUGAUGGCGCUACAAUGAAUAAUGGAGCCCGGCAACGGGCAACUUUAUCACCUGUGCAUAACAUUUACAUAAAAUACCCAGCAACAAGAAAUGAGCAGAAGAAUAUAUAUAAAAUUAAGCUACACU